AACGAACGCUGGCGGCAUGCCUAACACAUGCAAGUCGAACGAGACCUUCGGGUCUAGUGGCGCACGGGUGCGUAACGCGUGGGAACCUGCCCUUAGGUUCGGAAUAACUCCCCGAAAGGGGUGCUAAUACCGGAUAAUGUCUUCGGACCAAAGAUUUAUCGCCUUUGGAUGGGCCCGCGUUGGAUUAGCUAGUUGGUAGGGUAAAAGCCUACCAAGGCGACGAUCCAUAGCUGGUCUGAGAGGAUGAUCAGCCACACUGGGACUGAGACACGGCCCAGACUAGGAGGGGAGGCAGAGGUGGUGAAGAUGGGACGAUGGGCGAAGGGCUGGACGAGCGGCGCGGCGCGGGUGAUGGAGGCAUGAGGGUUAUAAAGCUCUGGUCCCCGGGAAGAUAAUGACAGUAGCGAGGGAAUAAGCUCCCGCCAACGCCGGGCCAGCAGAGUCGGUAAUAGGGGGAAGAGCACAGGGCUGAAC
rnacentral:rRNA from 1 species